AUUGAACGCUGGCGGCAGGCCUAACACAUGCAAGUCGAACGAGUGGCGGACGGGUGAGUAAUGUCUGGGAAACUGCCUGAUGGAGGGGGAUAACUACUGGAAACGGUAGCUAAUACCGCAUACCAUCAGAUGUGCCCAGAUGGGAUUAGCUAGUAGGUGGGGUAACGGCUCACCUGGGCGACGAUCCCUAGCUGGUCUGAGAGGAUGACCAGCCACACGGGAACUGAGACACGGUCCAGACUCCUACGGGAGGCAGCAGUGGGGAAUAUUGCACAAGGGGCGCAAGCCUGAUGCAGCCAUGCCGCGUGAAUGAAGAAGGCCUUCGGGGUGUAAAGUACUUUCAGCGGGGAGGCGUUAACCGCAGAAGAAGCACCGGCUAACUCCGUGCCAGCAGCCGCGGUAAUUC
rnacentral:rRNA from 1 species